rnacentral:snoRNA from 1 species
UGCGAUUUUACUUCAGAGAAUCACUUCUAAAGGAAAAAUCCCAUCUCUGUGUUCCCUACAGGAGCCACAGAUCCCACCCUGGUUGAUGAGUCGAAAUCCCCGCUGCCUCAGAGUGAAGUUCUUUACUCUGGAAGCCAGCUGCUUCGUGCGCUGCGCCUUCCAUACUCUCGCCCUGUCCGCAAGGAUGGCGGUCUCCCCUGUCUGGCAACAGAAAAGGAGGACUGUAUAGAGAGUGGUUGAUGAUCUCAACCCCAGUCGCUGUGUUGCCCUUGUGGUGCGCGGCCUGGGGUGGGCUUUGUGGGACGUCUGACAGGC